UACGAGUGCUCCAAGCGUUAUCCGGAAUUAGUUGGGCGUAAAGGGUGUGUAGGUUGACCUGUUAGUCAGAUGUUAAAACUCUCCGCUUAACGGAGAAAGGGCAUUUGAAACGGCAGGACUAGAGGAUGCGAGAGGUGAACAAGAACUCAUGGCGUAGGGGUGAAAUCCGUUGAUAUCAUGGGAAUACCAAAUGCGAAGGCAGUUCACAUGGCGCUACUCCUGACACUGAAACACGAAAGCGUGGG
rnacentral:rRNA from 1 species